AGAGUUUGANCCUNUANUCAGAUUGAACGCUGGCGGCAUGCCUUACACAUGCNAGUCGAACGGCAGCACGGGAGCAAUCCUGGUGGCGAGUGGCGAACGGGUGAGUAAUACAUCGGAACGUGCCCUGUCGUGGGGGAUAACUAGUCGAAAGAUUAGCUAAUACCGCAUACGACCUGAGGGUGAAAGCGGGGGACCGCAAGGCCUCGCGCGAUAGGAGCGGCCGAUGUCUGAUUAGCUAGUUGGUGGGGUAAAGGCCCACCAAGGCGACGAUCAGUAGCUGGUCUGAGAGGACGAUCAGCCACACUGGGACUGAGACACGGCCCAGACUCCUACGGGAGGCAGCAGUGGGGAAUUUUGGACAAUGGGGGCAACCCUGAUCCAGCAAUGCCGCGUGUGUGAAGAAGGCCUUCGGGUUGUAAAGCACUUUUGUCCGGAAAGAAAUCCCUUGCCCUAAUACGGCGGGGGGAUGACGGUACCGGAAGAAUAAGCACCGGCUAACUACGUGCCAGCAGCCGCGGUAAUACGUAGGGUGCGAGCGUUAAUCGGAAUUACUGGGCGUAAAGCGUGCGCAGGCGGUUUUGUAAGACAGGCGUGAAAUCCCCGAGCUCAACUUGGGAAUGGCGCUUGUGACUGCAAGGCUAGAGUAUGUCAGAGGGGGGUAGAAUUCCACGUGUAGCAGUGAAAUGCGUAGAGAUGUGGAGGAAUACCGAUGGCGAAGGCAGCCCCCUGGGACGUCACUGACGCUCAUGC
rnacentral:rRNA from 1 species